AGCAGGUUGGCGCAGUGGUAGCGCGGUGGGCCCAUAACCCACAGGUCGCAUGAUCGAAACAUGCACCUGCUA
rnacentral:tRNA from 1 species